rnacentral:lncRNA from 1 species
CCAUAAUCAUUACAGAACCCGGUGUUACAAGUGCAUGAGCAAUCACUCUUAAAUCAAAUAAAGUAUAAUAACUGUCUAGAAUACAGAUUUUGACAGGAAGUAAAUACAAUACACUGAAAGAGACUAUGCUGGCUGCGGGUCACCUCGAGAGAUGCAGCUCGCCUGUGUCUCCAUAUCAUCCAUGCUGCUACAUCCAUUAGGUCGUUAGAGGUAUAUGUGCCUGUGUAACAAAAAUGUACAACAAGUGUAGCAUGAAUACAAAUACAAUGUGUACUUAGUAAGUAUCCCAUCUAAUCUCGAAGAAGUAGAGAUGAGAGGUUGACUUCGACACUUACUAGUGUUCCCAUGAUAAUAUACCAAUAAUUUAAUAAAUCGAGGAUUUUCAUAAAAAUGACAGUAACUCAAAUAACGUGAGGCAAGGAAACAAUUCUUUCAUUUAUAGGAAAUUCCCAAAUUCAUUUUCAUCAUUUAUACAUUUAUCUCAGGCCAGGGAGAAACAUAUAUCAACAUCUAUGAAUUUCAAGGCAAGCAAUACAAGCAUGCGCAAAUUAUGCCAAGGUCGUACGGCCCGAUUCAACAAAUAUUUAAAUUGUGCACUGCUAGAGGGUCGAAUGUCGCGAAUCAUACAUGUGACGCGGUCAAAUAUAAAUAAACAAUCACCCCGCUCGCGAAUCAUACAUGCGAUGCAGGUACACAUAGAAACACGCAUUCAAACAAUCAAUCAAGACUUCAUCAGGGAAAAACAAUUACCUAAAAAAUAGCAAAUCUUCUUUAACGCUCAUGAAAAUGAUGUUUAAUUCCUUUAGAAAUUCAUUUACCAAUUCAAUAUGAUUUAAGUAUUUUAAAUCGACAACAAGAUUCCAAAUAUUACAAGUAGAUCACGCUAUUGGGUCCUAGACUACCCGGACUUGUGCAUAAUAGAAGCUACGCACGGACUCUCGUGACCUUGUGCGUACGUAGCCCCCACAAAUAGGAUCACCUAUCUAAUUAAUUCACCUAUGGGGAUAAUUCCCUCUUACAAGGUUAUAAAGGAGACUCACCUUACUGACUCCCAUUUUUAGGCAUUCUGCCUCGGCAAGUCGCAUGUAUGAAAUGCGACUUUGCCUAAUUUUCGGGCAAAACAAUGAACUACUACCUGCCUUCAGUCAACAGACUAUAACUUUCUGUACAAAUGUCCGAAUGAUGAAUAGUUUAACUUUCUAAAAAUUAGAAUCAAAGUUCUACAACUUUCACGUUUUGUAAAUAUUCAGAUUCCUUACAGAUUUCGAGAUAAAAGCUUCCAAAAUAGGCUCUUCGCAUCAGAAAUUUCUGGAGAAAUUGCAAAACGACUUUACCAGCCUUCAUUCAGUCGAUCAUAACUUUCUGUACAAAUAUUCAAAUGAUGAAUGGUUUAUCUUUCUAGAAACUACAAUGCAAGGAAUACAAAGUUUAUGUUUUGCAAAUUUUUAGAUUCCUUAUAGAUUGUAAGAUAUUAGUUUCUAAAAUCGACUCCUCGCAUCAGAAACUUUCUGGCGAACAGCUUCUGCAACAGAAUUUCAGCAGCUUUCUUUGUCCGAAAUUCAUUCCGUUAACCUUCCGAAAUCCACCCGAGGCCCAUGGGAUCUUAACUAAUUAUACCAACAUGUCUCAAAACAUGCUACAAACUCGCUCGAGGCCUCAAAUCACAUCAAACAACGUCAAAAUCAUGAAUCGCACUCCAAUUCAAGCUUAAUGAACUUUAAAAUUUCAAACUUCUAUUUCGUUGCUUAAACCUAUCAAAUCACGUCCGAUUGACCUCAAAUUUUGCGCACAAGUCAUAAUUAACAUUAUGGACCUAAUCCAAUUUUCGGAAUCGUAAUCCGACCCCGAUAUCAAAAAGUCUACUUCUGGUCAAACUCCUCAAAAACCUUCAAAUUUCUAUCUUUAGCCAAAUGACUCCAAAAUGCCCUACGAACCUCCGAAUUCACUUCCGAUCAUGCUCCCAAUACCAGAAUCACCAUACGAAGCUAUCCCCAAACGGACAUUGAUAACACUAAAAGGCACUUUGACCCAAACUUAUGAAAUCCUACUAAAAAUGCUAAUUUCCACAAUAGGUGCCGAAACGUUCCCGGUUCUUCCAAAACUAGAUCCGGACAUACACCCAAGUCCGAAAUUAUCAUAUGAACCUGCUGGAACCUUCGAAUCCCGAUUCCGAAUUCAUUUACUCAAAAAUCCAAUCUUACUCAAUUCUUUCAACUUAAAGCUUCCGAAAUGAGAAUUCUCUCUCCAAAUCAACUCCGAACUUCCCGAAAUUCAAUUCCGACCAUGCGUACAAGUCAUAAUACCUGAAGUGAAGCUUCUUAUGGCCUCAAACCACUGAAAAAUAUUCUAGAGCUCAAAAUAACUGGUCGGGUCGUUACAUACCUCCUAUAUAUAUUAUCAGUAUUUCCCUUUGUCUAACGGUCUUUAACCAGAAUGCCUUCAUCCCUUGAAUGUUCUUCAUGUUGCCUCCCUCAAGUAUCACGAUAUUUACUUUACCAUACAAGCCUUUUGAAGCCUCGAUCUCGGCAAUGGCCGAGGUGCUUGUUGUCAUUACACAUUGUAAGUACAACCAUGGCUUAGUCGACCUCUUACCGUCCUUUUAGCACUAAUCCACAUGUGGUUAGAUUUUGACCCAUACAGUUAGUCCCUCCGCCCGUUGGGGUCGCCUUUUGGUGAUCUUGAUGGGCGGACUCUGUUGACUCAAAUUGGGAGAAAUCUGAAUGCUUUGUGUGGGGGGCGAGAAUCUCAUGGCGAGGUGGUGACAUGACGCUUUGAGAAUCGCAUCGGGCCGUUAUGUUAGUUCGUAAUUGGACCGUCACGUCAGUUCAGGAUGUCACCAAUAUCCCCCAUGCAUCAUUAUGGCACACGUUUCCUAGGUAUGUGACAUUUCUCGUGCCAUUUCCGUUUCCUAACUGGCGGCUCUUGGUUUUCCUGCUUAAGGCAUUUAUAUCCCUAUAAAUAGAGGGGAAGCGUCUCAUUUGAAUGUUGAAUUUUCCAAUUGCUGAUAGAUAAUUUCGAAAAUCUUCUCCUCUUUCUUUAAUAUUUCAUAUUUCUGCCUCUGCUAGGAUUAGCUGUAACCAUCAUCUUUUUCUUUUAUCAUCUUCAUUUCUUUUAAUCAAAGAAAACAAAUGGCUAGUUGUUUUUCCUUUUUUGACAGAGUUGUAGGUACUCCGGUGCCGGAGAUUGACGUAUCCCUACUAGAAGAGGGAGUGGAACUGGUGGAAGAUGAGGGGUUUCUGUCGAUGGAUGAGGUGGUUCCUCGUACGGGGAAGGCAAAGAACGAUUUCAAUAGCCCUACCAGAGAUGAACCGAAGCCUAUUCCUUCCACGAUGGAUGCUGAGGCGAUCACGACAUUUAAAGCCAAAUGGGGGAUUCCCAACCAUAUUGAAAUGGUGCUGGCGGAUAAGGAUAUAGUGAAUUUGCACUGCUCGGGCUACUGCGCGUUUUAUGUGUAUCUAUUUGUUAUUGGGUACACGCUUCCCCGUCCUCCCUUGGUGGUGGAUUUAUGCCAUUACUAUGAGGUGUGCCUGACCCAACUCUCUCCGUACUGUGUACAAGAUUUUUCUUAUGCUCAUCAAGUACGUAGAGCUGGUUGGCCGAGGAAUCUCCCUGGGACAUAUGCUCCACCUGUUCUCCCCCCUAUUUUCUUUGAGGUAUGAUGAUCUAUAUGCAUCAUCAAGGGACCAAGAGUUUGGUGGUGAAGAUGGAUGAUAAGGCCAAACGCCACUUUUGGGAGAGCUACUUCUAUGUCCGAACAGGGCAUAUCUUGUCGAACCUAGCAGGGUUCCCUAAGACGUGGAACUUCACUUAUGAGUUUUCCUGUUUAUGAAAUUUUUCUUAAGACGGUCAUUGGUCGUCUCCCAUUCACGACUUCACUGAGUAGGGGCUUUUGUUUUUGCAGUCGAGAGACUACCUCCCCCACUGGUCACUGAUAUCCGCGAAUGGAUGAGCGCAAUUCUCCCCUACACGAUGGGGAUUCGUGAGUGGGCGCCUUUCCAUGAGAAGUUUGGGCGCAAGACUCUUACUGGUGAGUUGGCUCGUCGUGGUUUUACUUUGUUACUUGUUUCAUAGUUUCUUCAAUUUUGCCAUUAUAUGAUUGAACUCCUCCUUAUUGACAGGUCGGAGAGGAGUGAGAAGGACGAGGGCUUCUCCACUUGCAUUCCGUCAACCGGUGCCCUCUGCUCGACCUGCACCAAGAGCUACAGCCUGGCCUGCACCAAGAGCUAUUGCCCGGCCUGCGCCCACGGUCAAAACCGUAUGCUUGGAGGUUACUCCUCAAUCGGAAACUCCGGUUACCGUAUCCCGUUCAACGGGCAAAUCUUCCAGUGUUGGUAGUGGAGAGGCCCCAUCAAAGAGGCGAAAGGUACUAUUGGAAGGGGCUUCUUUAGCCGAAACACCCUCGAGGGGCGACCUUAUUUCGACGGAACUCGAGACCGGUGUUGGUGCUAGCCUGGAUAUGGAGGCGAUGCCUGUUGCUAGUGUUCAAGAGGCUAUUGUGACGGAGGGGUGGAUUUCUGUGGCUGUUAUUGUUGUUCCGAGCAGGCCAUCGUUAUCUCGGCUGAACCAUUCCCCUUCCUCGGCCAAUGAAAGGGGUAAGGGUGUCAUGUUUGAGGAUUAUGAAUCUGAAUCUGACAUUAACCCGAGGACAUAAGGAUGUUCGAGGACGGCUUUACCCGAAUUGUGGUAAGAGCGGAAGGCCCUUCUCGAAUACUUGAAAUUAUGUCGGAUCUCAACCUGUUGCAAGACAUGGUUGACUUGGUGUUGUAGUUCGAUCUUCUAUACUCUACCGCUGAGAGCGAAUCCCUUCAGGAGGGCAACAAUUUUGGGUUUUCACGCGGUGUGGCCGUGAUGGCCUUAAGGGUAAAUUUCCUUUUGCUUUCUUCAUUUCGUGACUUUUGUUUUUACAUUGACUCUUUCUUCUUUCUCUUUUUUAGACUUACAUGUUGGAGGUCGAGAGUGCUCAUAGUGCUGAGAUGCGGGCCGAGAUCUUUCUGAAAAUGGCCAAGAAGUAUCGGCGAUAUUGCAACAGAUGCCAGGAGAUGCACGAUCAGCUCAGAGUGGGUGGUGGUCCCAAGUCCAUUAGGGAAAAGUUGGAGAAAAGGAAUGAGGAACUUAUGCGGUCUAUCCGCAGGUGCAGUGAGCUUGAGGAGCUGCUUCAUUCCAAGGAUGAAGAGCUUGAGGUGGGAAAAGGGGUUGUUGCGGAGUGCGAGGACCUUCAGGCGAAGGUGUCGUCUCUACGAGUUGAGCUUGAGCAGAAUACCACUAGGGUCAAUGCUCUGAGUACUGAAUGGACGGAGAAGGUGGACGAGGUAGAAAAGAAAGUGGCCGAGAUGGAGAGAGCCGAUGAUGCUCGAGUGUCGACUUUGG